rnacentral:rRNA from 1 species
AGGAUCAUUAUUGAAUAAACCUGAUGGGUUGUUGCUGGUUCUUUUAGAACAAUAAGUGCACGCCUGUCACUUUUAUAUCUCCACCUGUGCACUCUUUGUAGACUUGAAUAGUUUUCUGAAUACCUAGUGUUCAGGUUUGAAGAUUGACUUUUCUGGUCUCUCUUUACAUUUUCAGGCCUAUGUUUCUUUAUAUACCCCAAUUUAUGUUAUAGAAUGUAAUCAAUGGGCUAUUGUGCCUAUAAACUUAUACAACUUUCAGCAACGGAUCUCUUGGCUCUCGCAUCGAUGAAGAACGCAGCGAAAUGCGAUAAGUAAUGUGAAUUGCAGAAUUCAGUGAAUCAUCGAAUCUUUGAACGCACCUUGCGCUCCUUGGUAUUCUGAGGAGCAUGCCUGUUUGAGUGUCAUUAAUAUUAUCAACCUCUUUAAGUUUUUUUUACUUGUUGAGUGUUGGAUGUGGGGGGUUUCUUUCUCUGCUGGUCUUUUUACGAGGUCAGCUCCCCUAAAAUACAUUAGCGGAACAAUUUGACCGUUUAUUGGUGUGAUAACUAAUCUACGCUAUUGACGGACAGUUCAGCUUCUAAUAGUCCAUUGACUUGGACAAUUUUCAUUAAUGUGACCUCAAAUCAGGUAGGACUACCCGCUGAACUUAAGCAUAUCAAUAAGCGGAGGAAAAGAAACUAACAAGGAUUCCCCUAGUAACUGCGAGUGAAGCGGGAAAAGCUCAAAUUUAAAAUCUGAUAGUCUUUGGCUGUCCGAGUUGUAAUCUAGAGAAGUGUUAUCCGCGCUGGACCGUGUACAAGUCUCCUGGAAUGGAGCGUCACAGAGGGUGAGAAUCCCGUCUUUGACACGGACUACCAGGGCUUUUGUGAUGCGCUCUCAAAGAGUCGAGUUGUUUGGGAAUGCAGCUCAAAAUGGGUGGUAAAUUCCAUCUAAAGCUAAAUAUUGGCGAGAGACCGAUAGCGAACAAGUACCGUGAGGGAAAGAUGAAAAGAACUUUGGAAAGAGAGUUAAACAGUACGUGAAAUUGCUGAAAGGGAAACGCUUGAAGUCAGUCGCGUUGUCCAGAAAUCAGCCUUGCUUUUGCUUGGUGCACUUUCUGGUUGACGGGUCAGCAUCAAUUUUGACUAUUGGAAAAAGAUUAAGGGAAUGUAGCAUCUUUGGAUGUGUUAUAGCCUUUUUAUUGUAUACAAUAGUUGGAAUUGAGGAACUCAGCGCCGCAAGGU